CCGUGUGGCUAUUAAAACUAAUAGGAUGACCGAGUCUGUAUACACGUAUUUAAAAUAUUCCUUCCAUCUGCCCCUCCUUUUGUGAAAGUUAUCUGUAUGCAUUUGGCUCAAGGCCUGUUAAAGGUUUUUUUUUUUUUUUUUUUAAGCAGCCAGACUCAGAACACUCAGGAACACAGACAGACGUAGGAAUUGCGUACAAACGAGGAGCUCUCCCACCCUCAUCAGAAUGUUUGCGUCUGACAGCGAACCUUCUGGGACAGAGCCAGCAUUGUCACCGUGCUCAAUGGCUGCUCUGGCUUCCUCGGGAAUGGAGAGAGGACACGGUGGGCCUUGGCAGGUGCGUUCCGCCUCCGGUCUGGUGUGCGGGCUGCACUCGGACUCUCUGGCGAGUCUGUGUGUUCCAAUCUGACAGCUCACCCGCCUCUGCUGCACGCCUCGGCCACAGGACACGGAGCACUGAGAAGACAGAGGACGCAAGAGGAUAAACUCCCAUUUUCCCAGUCCAUUGGGAAGAGGUGAAAAAGGCAUGUUAGAAUCUGAAAGGUAAGCUCGCAGAGCAGACUGGAGUGCUUAGAAGAAGGCUCCUGGAGGCUGUCCCUGGGGUCAGACCAGCAGAGUCACAGGCCGUAAUAACGAAUCUGGAUUUCCUUCUGCACGAGAUGGAAAAUCACUGAAGACUUUUAAGUCCAAGGGUACCCCGAAUCAAUUAUACUGAGGGGCAUGGUCUCUGAGUCAUUAAGAAGCCAGCAAACCACCCUGUUGCAUCUGCCUGGAUGAGAAGGGGUGAAGAGCUAAAGAGAAUAAGAUCCCCAGGGUUGCUGAGGCUGCUGAGGACCUGGAUGCCCAAAUGAAGAUGGAGCUCCACACAGAGCCGGUAAAGAUACUGUUAGAAAGAAAGAACCACCUGGAAUCUGACUCAUGGUGCUAAUGCUGAACUAAUUUGGCGUAAGUUAUUUCGAUUCACAAAGGCCACCCAGGAGCACUUUCAGUUUGAGCUGAACUUCUGAAAAUCAUACCAGCAGCUUGCGUUGCGUUCAUACCGUGACUAGGAUGCUGGGCUGAAGAACACUGGCUUCUCAUUUAAUCCCGACAGCAGCCUGGAGGCUCAGGUGCUGUCAGUUUUCUUUUACACAGCACCUUGCAAAGAAGCCAUCACAGGAAGCACAUAUUCAAUCCUGCCAGCGAAGGGCCACAUUUCCUCUUGGCUGAAGCCACACGCUGCUUUUCUCUUAGCCAUCUUUUCAGGGUUUAUCAACCCAUGAGGCCUGCCUGAUGCCACACAGUGAAUUAUGACUUCUGUGGACUAAAUGAAAGGCUGCAGGUUGUAAAUUCUGGCCUGCCAAUUCACUAAGGAAAAACUAUCUCCAAGAUUAUUCAGUCUACCUAUUUAUUUCACAAAUUCAAGAUUAGAGAAAAGAAGACGUGGCAUGCUCCAAGUCCUGAAGCAAGUUAGAGGAGAUGCAGGCUCAGGAGGCUUUUGUCGCUAGCAGGGGACACCAUCUGGCUCCAGUCACACUGAGAGUCUGUGGUCGGGCUCCAGUGCUCUGCUCACUGCUCAGAACCCACAGCUAACCAGACACCUGAUUCUUUCCAUUCCAAACUGGGUGUGUGUACACAGAACUGAAGUGAAGGGCAAGGAACAGCCAGGUAGGUAUAGACUUUGCACGUGUGGCUUUGAGGGACUGACAACGCCAAUAUAAACAAGAAUGAGUUAGUGGCCGGGCACAGUGGCUCACGUCUGUAAUCCCAGCACUCUGGGAGGCCAAGGAGGGUGGAUUGCCUGAGCUCAGGAGUUUGAGAUGAGCCUGAGCAAGAGUGGCUCUACAAAAAAUAGAAAAAAAGCUGGCCAGGUGUUAUGGUGGCACCUGUAGCCCCAGCUACUUGGGAGGCUGAGGAAAGAAGAUUGCUUGAGCCCAGGAAUUUGAGGUUGCUGUGAGUUGUGACACCACUGCACUCAUGCCUGGGGCAACAAAGUAAGAUUACGUGUCAAAAAAAAAAAAAAGAAAGAAAGAAAGAAAAGAAACAAAGAAAAGAAAGGAAAGAAAAUUAUGAGUUAAGAUCAAAUUCUGAGGGGUGACUGAGCCUAGGUCCUAACACAGGAAGGAGGUGCCCACCUUCACUUUGCUCUGAAAUGUAGCACAUUUGGGAGUCAGACAGACCUGGGUUGGAAUCCCACCUGCCACACUGUACAUGGUGCCUGGGGAGACAAAUGACUUAGCCUCUCCCAGCUCAGGUCUGCUGUCUGUAAGAUAGGACAGUAGCAGUAUCUAUACCCAAUUAUAUUGGUGUUGCGAUUAAAUGAGAUGAUGCCUACAGAGCUCUCUGGAUUGGCCAGGUAGCAUACAUGUAAUAAAAUAAUACAUGUUGUCACCAUCACCACUGUGACUGUUUCUACUCAGUACAGUCUUUUAGAACAUCUACCCUGAAGUUAAAAAGGUGAGUAUUUAAAAAUAUUUUAAAUAAUGAACUCCAAGAUUUAAAUUCUAACACACACAUUGAUGGGUAAAGGUGGGACUUUGGUAAAAUCUCGCUCCAGUGAAUGAGUGAAGUGCUUUCUUUUCCAAAGGUCACAGAGAGCUCCACAGGACAGACAUCAAUGCUGAAGAUUCCUUUUGUAGUGUCCUUUUCUCUUAGAGACUGUCACUUAUUAAUAAGAUGUCUUCUUAGCAAAGAAAAGGCAUCACAUCUGAAUGUCACAUCUCUUUCUAUUCCAUCAUUCCCUGCUCGCACUGUCUCAAGAACUACGGACAGUUCUCAUUUUUCCCCCCACAAGGAAACAUGUUUAUUACAAAGGAAAUACAAAAGAUACAGAGGAAGAGAUGCAAAUUCUCAUGUUUUUGUGAUCUCAUUGCUUUGAUGGCCUGAGACACAGAAUCAUCAUCUGUGAUGAACAUUAGGGAAUACACAGUCACUUCCCGGCCACACUCUACCCGGCUUUGGGAGCUGUCAUGGUCCUUUGUCAAAAAAGCAUAUUUCCUUAAUGGCAACGUGAACCCAUUUAGAGGGGUUUUAUAGGGCUUCUCACAAAACAAGAAUGACUCUGAACAGGGGCAAGAGGGACCAAAUAUUGAGGAGGAAGGGACAGAAAGCUUUACCAGGAAACAAGGGCUGUGACUUCAGGCCGUGAAGCCAGUGUUGACAGGCCUGCCUGACGGCUGUUUGUGGCUAGGACCACCCUGGCACUUAUUACCAUGAAAAGGAGCUGAGAGCUGGGAGAGAUUGGCAGGGAACACCAAAGAAGAAAGCGGAUGUGAGAGUCACGGUCAUCACUGCAGCCAGAUGGGGCAUUAGGCCACCCUCCCAUCCCCACUGCACCCACCCCCCUCCAGGCUUUGUGAUGCUACAAAGUUCUAUGAAAAGGAACUAAGAGUCACAUGCCAAUUCCUGGAGCACAUGGAGGCUCCAGGCAUAGGCUGUCAACACAGGGGCCAAGUAGGUGGCCCGGCAGAUGCCCAGCAAGGGAGAUGGCAGGGCCAGCAAAGGUGGGGAGACAUGGAGAGGGACUGGUGCCCUCCACCCCCAUUACCCUGGGACUCCCAGGACAGGGGACACUCCAGUUGCCCCCCUCUCCCAUCUCACAACAUAGCAACUUCAUAGUAGGAGGUAAAUUAAAUUUUAACAUUACAUUAGUCAUGCAAGUUAUAAAACCUAAAUUGAGGUUCUUCUUGUUCUGUGAGAGUGAAAAUAUUACACUUUUCCUCCUCAUCUAGAGAGAAAGAAAGAAUCUCCAAAUGCAGCGCCUCGGGGGUUCCAUCAGGGCCACACCAGGGGUGCCCCUGGGAACCUGAGGCACAGCACCAGGUCCUGUGACCCUCCUGUGCCCUUGGCUCCUCUCUUCCCUAGAGCACUGCCUGUUUUUGUCAGACUUCUUUUCCUUUUCAAGGGUAACACAGUGACUAUUUGUAACCUGACUUCAGCAGAAUAACAUGUUGGCAUUUUUCAGGAAAGAGGAGACGACAGUGUAAGAGCCCUCUCUGAGCCUGCGUUGGGGUUAUUUAUGAAGCAGUCUGGAGGACAGAGAGGGUAGUGGGUGAGAUAUUUGUUCCAGGAUCCUUACUCUCAGCUGUUCCAAAGGAGAGUGAAGAAGCAUCUGAGUAAGUAACUGUUUCUGUGGCUGGUAGAAACAGUGACCAAAGUUUCCUGGUACUCUCAAGGUGGACUGUGAUGGAAGGCCCUGGGCAGAGGUUCAUGGCUACCUGGCAAUGACCACAGAUAGAUAAUAGUGCUGGGGCAGAUCCUCUUGACUUGACUUACGUGAUUGUCAAAGGCUGUUAGUUAGGGAUGGGUCUGGGACGUUUCAGCCACUUUUGGGAAUGCUUCCAGUCUGCCUCUGGAUGCUCACGUACCUAACAACGUCCACCCCUUGAACUUUGUCCUCUUCCCAAAGAAGCUAUCAGUGUGUCAGUCAGGCAUUUCUAAGACACAAGGACAAAGUUCACUCAAUUGGCUUAUCCAAUCUAAUCUUCUUUGUCCAUCUGGCCCUUCAUGAGCUUGGUAUGAAAGGAACGCCUUUUCAGGCUGGCACGCCAAAUACACUAUACUGAAAAAUUCACAAGAUUUUGGCAAGCAGUUUAUGUAACUAAUCUCCUUUUGGGUGGAUAUUACUACCCAGCCCAGAACUGAGACAUGCAUAUACAUAUCUGAGCCUGUAUCCAGAGAAAUACAUCUUACUAGGAGAGAAAAAGGUCAUUUUAACCAUCAUUGAAUUAGACGCUCAUCCUCCAAUUUUGCAUUGCUCUAUCGGGAGUUCAAACGGCAGUCACUCUCUCUCAAUAUACAUUAUUCAAGUCCUUUGUGGCUUUUCUUGUCACCUGUUCCUGCCUACCUUUUGGUAAAGAAACAGCUCAAAGUACCAAUAUGAAAGGACAAGAUGAGAAGAAAUAAAAAUCAGCGAAAAGGUAAAUGGCAUAUAACACGGAAGUCUUGGCAUUAAAAGUGGAUGAAAUUGUGUUUGAUAGUUUUCUGCAAAUUUAAAUGAUUCUUCCAUUACUCUGAGAUGUAUUCAUAUGGAAAUAGAAGGAAUGAGUCAAAAGAGGGAGGGAGUUAUGAACACAGUUUGGGGACAAGUCAGGCCUGGUUUGACCAGUACUAUCUCUUCCUUUGCCAUCGUCUGCAAAUGCAUAUCUAUACCACAAGCAUCUACCUUUUCCAAUUCUGACAACAGAGAUAGGAAAUGGUGGCGAAUAUGCACGUCAAACUUAACAUAUUCAAAACAGAAGUCCUAAUCUUCCUCCCCAAAUCUGUUCUUCCUAUAGACUUUCCUAUUUUAGUUGAUGGAAACCAUUCUUUCACUUGCCCAGUCCAAAAAACUUGGAGUCACUUUGAUUCCAUUCUUUCUCUUGUCCCCCACAUCCAAACUCUCAGCUCUCCUUUGGAACUGCCUUUUUUUUCUCGGGGUGGCGGUUAGGGUCUUGCUCUGUUGCUCAGGCUACAGUUAUCAUACUUCACUGCAGCCACAAACUCUGGGGCUCAAGCAAUCCUCCUGCCUUGGCCUCCCAAGUGCCUGGGACUAUAGACACCUGCCACAAAGCCUGGCUAUUUUUUCUAUUUUUAGUAGAGACAGGAUCUCGCUCUUGCUCAGGCUGGUCUUGAACCCCUGACCCCAAGUAAUCCUCCCGCUUCUGCCUCAUAGAGAGCUGGGAUUUUAGGCAUGAGCCAUUGUGUCUGGUGGCACUACCUUAAAGAUCCAUCAGAAUCCUUCUCACCACUUUCCCUGUGAGCAUUGUCAUCUGAGCCACUACUCUCAUCUGAGUUACUACAAUGGCCUCCUAAUGGUCUCCCUGUUCCCUACAGAUGUUCCUCCUGUGCCUUCCUCUGAAUUCAGAAACCAGAGUCAUCCUUUUAAAACUAAUUCAUGUUUCUACUCAGCCCCCCUCCCUUCACUGACAGUGGCUUCCUAUCUUUCACUCAGGUGAAAGCAAAGAUCCUUUCAAUGGUCUGACCCUCUCCUACCUGCCCUUCCCCCACAGUCUAUCUCAGCUUCCUCUGUGAUUACCUACCCAACUAUUCCAGCCACACUGGCCACUUUGCUGUUGCUAAGAUGGCACUAGCAAAUGUCUGUGUGGCUUGCUUCUGCUUUUCCCCAUAUCCUCACUCCAAUGUUACCUAUUUAAUGGAAACUUCCCCAAACCUCCUUAUAAUUACAGUUCUUACCUCCUUUUCCACGCUGUUCCCUGUCCCUCUUCCCUACUUUAUCUAUGGCACUUAACAUCGUCUUCUAUAAUAUAAAUUUUACCUUUUUUUUGUUUUGUUUGUUAUUUAUAGCUUGUCUCCACUAUCCACUAGAAUAUAGGCUUGAUGAGUUUAGGCUUUUUGUGUUUUGUUCACUCCUGUAUCCACAGUGCCUAGAACAGUGCCUGGUUUAGGGAACACACUCAAAUAUUUGUGAAAUGUUCAAAUGAAUGCAUGAAAGGGUGAAUAAACAAUAGAAUAGGACCCAGAGCCACUUAUCUCAUGAGAAUAUUUAAGGAUUAGGCAAACAUUCUGCACAAUACUCAGUUUAUUGUUAGAACCAAAUAAAUAACUAUUGCUCUAUCUCUGAUGUCCAUUCAGUCCCAAACUGGCCAAGUACUCUCGUGGUUUAAUAUUUAAUUCACAGCUACAUAACUAAAUACUGCACAGGUAAUAAAUAUCCAAGGGGAAGUUUAUAUGAGAAUGUAACACAAGACAGACAGCAGGCAGAACUAGGAACUUAGACUACUUCAGUGCCCUGCAAAUGUAAGACUAACAUAAAGUUCCCCUCUACCACGGGCACCACCAGAUAGUUUCUCCUUCUCAAAGAUGCCACAUUGGAGUACACUUUUGCCCGAUGGAAAAAUGUAGAUAAACAGACUGAAAACGGAAUACAAAGAAAUGCAACAGACAAGAAUGGAUUCUAUGAAGGUCAAGUAUUUUUUAUUGUCCACUCUGGCUAGGUACAUCUAAAAGCAAAAACCUGAACUCUUAACACGUGUUUCAAAAGCAGUUUGUCUCAGUUCUAUACUGAUAUUUUGAAUUUUUAAAAAUUUUUAAAGUUUUCUUUCAUUUGGAAAGUGGUUCUUAAAGUAUGGGAUAGCUGGGAUUAUAAAACCAACAUCUAACUCAAACUCUACUGCGUUAAACUCAGCAGAACGAAAUCACGGCCAUCCUCCUACACACUAUCUAGCCAGCCCCCAUUAAGCCUAUCUCUUAUGAGGGCUACUUGUUACCCAGAUAUUAGGAUCAGGACACUUGCAGAAAGACCUAUUUUUCUUAGCUCAGCAGGACUUUCCCUUACAGAUGUACUAAUCUUCAUCAUUCUAGGGUGCUAUAAAUGUCUAGGGGGAAGCCCAUCCAUCUCAGAGUUUUGGUCUGAGAUUGCUAGGUGACCAAGUCCAAUUUUUGAGUUUCUUUGAAAGCCAAGUGUAAAAAUGUUCUAUUCAGAAAUGCAAAUAUUUAGCUACCUCCAACUUGUGAUAAGUAAAAUAAACAAAACCAGGAAUCUGGCUGAAAACCCUUGGGAAAUAUUCAGAUGUCAAAGACUCGGCUUGGGCCUUUUACAAAGCAGAGAACUAAAUCAGUUUAAUCAGUUUCCACUUGGGCAAGGGGUUGUUUCUUUUAUGGGUCCCAAAUCAAAAUUAGUAUUUCUAGAAGUUUUGAAAGCGCCCCCAUGAAAGGCAGUGGGAAAAUAUGAGUUUUUGCUGUCCAUCAGGUCUGGAUCCAAGAAUUACUGAUUGUAUAAUAUUGGAAACUUGCUUAACUUUCUCCCUGCACCUCAGUUUUCCUGUCUGCACAAUGAACAUAAUAAGAUCCAUUCUGCAAGCAUUAUAUGAGGAUUAGCAAUAAUGCAUGCAAAGCAUCUGACCCAAGCUAUGGCUCACAGCAGAUGUUCGAUAUAGGGGGGCCUUUGCUAUUCUUUUCCACUUCCAGUCAAAUCUAUGUGGCUGACUGGUCAUCAGUUCAUGACUGUGAAGUGCAGAAACUCAUUCAAUCAGAAAAGAGAGCUUUGGUGGUAGCUGUGUGUUCUUGUUUUUUGAGGGAAGAUUUGCAGGUGCUCAAGCCUAGCCUAGAGUCACUGGUAAGAUUAUAUUUGGGCAAAAGUCAAAAUUCAAUGUCUAAUUUUAAAGGGCUUUUGACACAUAGGCAAUUUAAUGUUCUAAUUAAUUCUGGACAGUGGCACCCACUGCCUUAUGAAGAAUCAUAAUCUCUUCUAUAUUGGGCUCUAGUGCAUAAGUCUGUUUUUUUAAUAAAUAUUUCUGUGGUCUUUCAUCAAAUGAAGUUUGAGCAUUGUGGGGAAAGUCCAAUGUUCCAUUAUAGCGUAAGUGCCACCAUAAAAUUUCUGAAAUUGAUGACAAUAGCUUGGGUUCAUCUUAUUUGCCCUUCCUCUACCAAUAGGUUUCUUCUCUAGUAUUAAAGCUUUGGAGUCACUAAUAUUAGUGUUUAUGGCUAUUGUUACAGUGAUCUUUUUAAAAGAAAACAAUUGAGAUUGAUUUUCCUCCUAGGACCAGGAGAUACAUCAUCUAAAAUGUUCUCUGGCCCUCUGAUCUCAGGGUUACACCUGCCAUUCUGAGUAUAUAGGAUGUGUCUGUGUGGCAUGGAGCUUGGGCUUAGUAAAUAUAUACGGCAUUGGCCACCUUCUGAAGGAAGGAAGAUUUGCAGUAUGGACAAGAGGAGGUACAGAGAGGUAGAACUAGAGAACUAGAGAAACUUUCUUUCCCAGAAGUUCAUAUACAGAAAAACCAAAUUAAAAGUCACACAUCUGGGGCGGUGCCUGUGGCUCAAAGGGGUAGGGCGCCGGCCCCAUAUGCUGGAGGUGGCGGGUUCAAAAACAGCAAAAAAAAAAAAAAAAAAAGUCACACAUCUGGAAAAGUUGAUCACCUAUGUAGUUUCUUCUGAUGGGUUAAAAAAAAUAAAUAAAAACAAAAUCCUUAGCUGGUGGGGAAAUAAUGGACUGUGGAAACAUGAUCUCUAAAAUAUAACAAUUUCUCUUCCUUGAGGGGAGGAAGAGAACAAUUUUGUAACCGCAAAGAUUUCUCUGACUUAAAAAUAGGGAUUUGGUAUCAAACAUGUGUAAGAAAUGCUGUAGCCUAUACCCACCUAAUGCCCAUAAGAAUGUGGAAAGUGAAAUUUUGCUAUGAAAAAUCCAUAGAACCAAAACUCCAGACAUUGCCAAAUAUUCACAGGACAGUAGGGGUGGGAAAUCCCCCCCUCCAAUUGAGAAGCAUUGAAUUAUCCUAAGUUCUCAGGUGAAACUUCACCAAGUUUUCAAAACCGAAUUGAUUUUACUUGACAUGGUGGUAGCAGGGCACACAAAACUUCUUUGCAGAUGGGAGUUAUGAAGGGUCUCCCAACAUCACUCCAACAAAGUCAAGGGCUGAGGGUAAACAGGUUGGGAAGCCCCUGUCUAUAGAAAAGGUGACGUGUGCAACAUGAAAUCCAUUCCCACACACAACAAUGAAGAUCCCAGUGGCAAUGAGCAAACAUGCUCUUCCUUCCUGACAUCAUGUCCGUGACCCUCCACCCAAAAGGGUUCCCCAACAUGUCACGUCUGAUUCAAAGACAACCAAGGAGUAGGAAAUAAUAAUUUCACUCAGAAAGGACAAAGAGCAACACAAGAAUAGGUGAGUUGGCUGGGUGGGAGCUUUUUAUUCAACUCAAGGAAAACAAACAGCACACGUUUUUAAAAAAUCUCUUUAGUUUUCAAAGGAAUUUGAACUUUGACUUGGUAGCAGAUUUAAAAAAGGGGGCAGUCUGUGUAUGGUCAGAUAUUUACUGGAAGUUAGUAGCAAGACUUCCACUGAAAGUCUGGAUUUCCCCCCAAAAGGACCAUUCCUUUCAUUUCACCUGCUUGAGUGGGAAGGGGGUGGAGGAAGAAAGGAGAUGAAAAAAGAGAAAAUCAUGAGGAAAAAGCCAGUGGAAAAGUAGGAUUUUAUUCCUGUUCUCAGUGCAGUGCCCACUCUUCCUUAUUAUGCUAUCGUGUAAAUCUGAGAUUAAAACCAGCUUCCUAAAAUGUGUCAGGAAUGUUUACGUUUGUGAAAUAAACCCAGAGCUAUUCUUGCCUUCCUUGCAAAGAAAAAUACAUGCUCUGAAUGAUUUAUGUUCUUUUAAGAAAAUUUUAAAAAUAACUUAUAUUGAAAAAUUUCAAACUUAGAGAAAAAUUGUGGGAACAUCACAACAAUCUCCCUUAUCCCUUCAUCGAGAGCCGCCAAUCACCAUUUUACCACAUUUGCUCCUCCAUCUCCAUCUCUGUGUAUGCCGUUACCAUUUUGUCUUCACCUGAACAGUGGGAGAGCAAUUUAUGGACAUAAUGUCCCACCAUUUCUCAAACUCUAGUCUCCUUGAAUCCAGGAUUCUCUCCUACAUAAACACCAUGCAACUCUCCAAGUCAGAGUAUCACUAUUUUUACACCACCACUGAACAAUCCUAUUUCUUUCUUUCUUUCUUUUUUUUUUUAAUGAUUCCCUCCUCCAGCGAACUCUGUAUUUCUAAACGUCUAGACCAGUGUGAUAAGGGAUUCAGUUCCUGAGUAGCUGGGUUCAUUCUCAUUCAUUGAUUUCAACUUUGUUUUAGCAAGUGCCUACUUUGAGUAAGGCACCAAGCUUGAACUGUGGGCCUCAUCAGCUAGAGGAAAUUAAGGUUGAAGGCAAUUAAAUAAAUGAUUUGGGAAACAAUUUUUAUUUGAAAUGUGACCAUUUCUGCAUCUUUUUCUCUGUCCUAGAUAAGGUAAAGAAAGCAAACCCACCCAUUUCGUUUUUUCUCCUGUUAUAAUUCCCUUCUCUUUAUCUUACCAAGUGCCCAAAUCAUAACUAUGUUUUAUCAUUCACCUGCCACAUGGACUAAGAGGUUGGGCAGUCCUUGAGAGAAGGAAGGGUGAAGAAAGGAAGAGAUCGCAGGCCAGGACUGAAAGUGGAUGACUGUCCUACCCAGGGACAAAUAAGACUCAGUAUUGCUGAAAGAAAAGUUCAGCAAUGUAGCUUGGUUUUUGCUCAAGAAAUAGUUUGGAAGACAUUUUGAUGCGUUUAAUUUCAAACAGAGAAUUACUAGAGUGAGAUCACUUUUUAAUAAGUUUUAAUUUCAUCAUUUUUCAUAAUUCACCUAUAGUGCUUUAGCAUCUUACUGUCUACAGCAAACCUCACUGCCACAAACAUCUGCAAAAUCUCAUCUCUGACAAAAUUUGAUCUAUGAUCCUAAUUAUAUAUACUUACUGAAUAAACA